rnacentral:rRNA from 1 species
GGGGAAUAUUGGACAAUGGGCGCAAGCCUGAUCCAGCCAUGCCGCGUGAGUGAUGAAGGCCUUAGGGUUGUAAAGCUCUUUCAGUAGGGAAGAUAAUGACGGUACCUACAGAAGAAGCCCCGGCUAACUUCGUGCCAGCAGCCGCGGUAAUACGAAGGGGGCUAGCGUUGUUCGGAUUUACUGGGCGUAAAGCGCACGUAGGCGGAUUGGUCAGUUAGAGGUGAAAUCCCGAAGCUCAACUUCGGAACUGCCUUUAAUACUGCCAGUCUAGAGUCCGGAAGAGGUAAGUGGAACUCCUAGUGUAGAGGUGGAAUUCGUAGAUAUUAGGAAGAACACCAGUGGCGAAGGCGGCUUACUGGUCCGGUACUGACGCUGAGGUGCGAAAGCGUGGGGAGCAAAC